rnacentral:rRNA from 1 species
ACGGAAGGCAGCAGUGGGGAAUAUUGGACAAUGGGGGAAACCCUGAUCUAGCGACGCCGCGUGAGUGAAGAAGUAUUUCGGUAUGUAAAGCUCUAUCAGCAAGGAAGAAAAUGACGGUACUUGACUAAGAAGCUCCGGCUAAAUACGUGCCAGCAGCCGCGGUAAUACGUAUGGAGCAAGCGUUAUCCGGAUUUACUGGGUGUAAAGGGAGCGUAGACGGCAAAGCAAGUCUGAAGUGAAAUCCCGGGGCUCAACCCCGGAACUGCUUUGGAAACUGUUUAGCUAGAGUGCAGGAGAGGUAAGCGGAAUUCCUAGUGUAGCGGUGAAAUGCGUAGAUAUUAGGAGGAACACCAGUGGCGAAGGCGGCUUACUGGACGAUAACUGACGUUGAGGCUCGAAAGCGUGGGGAGCAAACAGGAUUAGAUACCCUGGUA